rnacentral:rRNA from 1 species
AACGAACGCUGGCGGCGUGCCUAACACAUGCAAGUCGAACGGAGUUGAGGGGCUUGCUCCUCAAUUUAGUGGCGCACGGGUGAGUAACGCGUAGAUAAUCUGCCUGAUGGUUUGGGAUAACACUUCGAAAGGGGUGCUAAUACCGGAUAAGCCCACGGAGUCCUUGGACUCUGCGGGAAAAGGAGGGGACCUUCGGGCCUUCCGCCUUCAGAUGAGUCUGCGUACCAUUAGCUAGUUGGUAGGGUAAAGGCCUAUCAAGGCGACGAUGGUUAGCUGGUCUGAGAGGAUGAUCAGCCACACUGGAACUGAGACACGGUCCAGACUCCUACGGGAGGCAGCAGUGGGGAAUUUUGCGCAAUGGGGGAAACCCUGACGCAGCAACGCCGCGUGAGUGAUGAAGGCCCUUGGGUCGUAAAGCUCUGACAGAGGGAAAGAAAUGUGGGUGGCUAAUAUCCNNUCCACUUGACGGU